UUCACGGCAUUGCCCAGAGUGCAGACGCAGAGGGCAGGGAGGUCCAGCUAUCACGUUGCACAAGAAAAGCCCACAGAGACUGGAGGAGGAUGAGCUUAUCCCUGCCUGCCUGCUUGAUCAAUGAAUGCAUGGUCCGUGCUCCUUCCCCUAGUUUCCUGCUCUUUCUCAUUAUUUCGGCCCCAGUGUGUCCCUGAUGAGCUUGCCUGCAAAACAUGAAGGUGGGGGGAGACGGUGUCGUAGAUAACUGCGAGAUGAGAGCCUUGGAGGAGAGGUACACCAGACAGAAAGUCAUCAUGAGAUACCGUCCUUGGGAAUGGCAUAAUGCUCUUGGGAAUGCAGGCUGUCACGG